rnacentral:rRNA from 1 species
CCUACGGGCGGCAGCAGUGAGGAAUAUUGGUCAAUGGGCGCGAGCCUGAACCAGCCAAGUAGCGUGAAGGAUGACUGCCCUACGGGUUGUAAACUUCUUGUAUAAAGGAAUAAAGUGAGGCACGUGGGCCUUGUUGUAUGUACGGUAUGAAUAAGGAUCGGCUAACUCCGUGCCAGCAGCCGCGGUAAUACGGAGGAUCCGAGCGUUAUCCGGAUUUAUUGGGUUUAAAGGGUGCGUAGAGGGGUUGUUAAGUCAGUGGUGAAAGUUUGCGGCUCAACCGUAAAAUUGCAAUUGAUACUGGCAGUCUUGAGUACAGUUGCGGUAGGCGGAAUUCGUGUUGUAGCGGUGACAUGCUUAGAUAUCACGC